GAAAUGCGAAAAGUAAUGCGAUUUGCAUGAAUCUGUGAGUCAUCAAGUCUUUGAACGCACCUUGCACCGUAUGAGUAAUUGUACGGUAUACCUGUUUGAGAAUCGUAAAAUCCAAUCUCAACCUCUCCUUUCGGGGGGAGUGAUGAGGACUUGUCGAUCUAAUACAUCGAUUAAAUGUAAAAGGUUUGGAUCAGGCUGGUGGCCUGAGACACUGUGUGCUAGAGACUAGGCGAUACCCCCUUAAAAAGGGUUUCGGUCUGUCUUCUCAUGGUGCGUCUCGGGUCAUUAACGCUGGCCUGGUCAAUUCGAGCCUUUAACUGCGUCAAGUAACCAACCUUGAGCAACCCUUUCUCUCUUUGAUCUCAAAUCAGGUAAGGCUACCCGCUGAACUUAA
rnacentral:misc_RNA from 1 species